rnacentral:rRNA from 1 species
UACGGAAGGGGGCUAGCGUUGUUCGGAAUUACUGGGCGUAAAGCGUGCGCAGGCGGCUUCUCAAGUCAGGGGUGAAAGCCCAGAGCUCAACUCUGGAAUUGCCUUUGAGACUGAGUGGCUUGAGUACGAGAGAGGUGAGUGGAAUUCCCAGUGUAGAGGUGAAAUUCGAUAGAUAUUGGGAAGAACACCGGUGGCGAAGGCGGCUCACUGGCUCGGUAACUGACGCUCAUGCACGACAGCGUGGGGAUCAAACAGG